rnacentral:rRNA from 1 species
UACGUAGGUGGCGAGCGUUAUCCGGAAUUAUUGGGCGUAAAGAGCGCGCAGGUGGUUGAUUAAGUCUGAUGUGAAAGCCCACGGCUUAACCGUGGAGGGUCAUUGGAAACUGGUCGACUUGAGUGCAGAAGAGGGAAGUGGGAAUUCCACGUGUAGCAGUGAAAUGCGUAGAUAUGUGGAGGAAACACCGAUGGCGAAGGCAGCCCCCUGGGUCAAGACUGACGCUCAUGCACGAAAGCGUGGGGAGCAAACAGG